CUGGAGGUUCUGGUUCUGCUCUGACUCUCCUCCACAGCUGGAGGUUCUGGUUCUCUCUGACUCUCCUCCACAGCUGGAGGUUCUGGUUCUGCUCUGACUCUCCAUCACAGCUGGAGGUUCUGGUUCUGCUCUGACUCUCUUCCACAGCUGGAGGUUCUGGUUUGCUUGACUCUCCUCCACAGAUGGAGGUCUGGUUCUGCUCUGACUCUCCCUCCACAGCUGGAGGUUCUGGUUCUGCUCUGACUCUCAUCACAGCUGGAGGUUCUGGUUCUGCUGACUCUCCUCCACAGCUGGAGGUUCUGGUUCUGCUCUGACUCUCCUCCACAGCUGGAGGUUCUGGUUCUCCCUGACUCUCCUCCACAGCUGGAGGUUCUGGUUCUGCUCUGACUCUCCUCCACAGCUGGAGGUUCUGGUUCUCUCUGACUCUCCUCCACAGCUGGAGGUUCUGUUCUGCUCUGACUCUCCAGCACAGCUGGAGGUUCUGGUUCUGACUCUGACUCUCCUCCACAGCUGGAGGUUCUGGUUCUGCUCUGACUCUCUUCACAGCUGGAGGUUCUGGUUCUCUCUGACUCUCCUCCACAGCUGGAGGUUCUGGUUCUGCUCUGACUCUCCAUCACAGCUGGAGGUUCUGGUUCUGCUCUGACUCUCCUCCACAGCUGGAGGUUCUGGUUCUCUCUGACUCUCCUCCACAGCUGGAGGUUCUGGUUCUGCUCUGACUCUCCAUCACAGCUGGAGGUUCUGGUUCUCUCUGACUCUCCUCCACAGCUGGAGGUUCUGGUUGUCUCUGACUCUCCUCCACAGCUGGAGGUUCUGGUUCUCUCUGACUCUCCUCCACAGCUGGAGGUUCUGGUUCUGCCUGACUCUCCUCCACAGCUGGAGGUUCUGGUUCUCUCUGACUCUCCUCCACAGCUGGAGGUUCUGGUUCUCCCUGACUCUCCUCCACAGCUGGAGGUUCUGGUUCUCUCUGACUCUCCUCCACAGCUGGAGGUUCUGGUUCUCCCUGACUCUCCUCCACAGCUGGAGGUUCUGGUUCUGCUCUGACUCUCCUCCACAGCUGGAGGUUCUGGUUCUGCUCUGACUCUUCCACAGCUGGAGGUUCUGGUUCUCUGACUCUCCUCCACAGCUGGAGGUUUGGUUCUGCUCUGACUCUCCUCCACAGCUGGAGGUUCUGGUUCUCCCUGACUCUCCUCCACAGCUGGAGGUUCUGGUUCUCUCUCUGACUCUCCUCCACAGCUGGAGGUUCUGGUUCUCCCUGACUCUCCUCCACAGCUGGAGGUUCUGGUUGUCUCUGACUCUCCUCCACAGCUGGAGGUUCUGGUUCUCCCUGACUCUCCAUCACAGCUGGAGGUUCUGGUUCUGCUCUGACUCUCCUCCACAGCUGGAGGUUCUGGUUGUCUCUGACUCUCCUCCACAGCUGGAGGUUCUGGUUCUGCUCUGACUCUCCUCCACAGCUGGAGGUUCUGGUUCUCCCUGACUCUCCUCCACAGCUGGAGGUUCUGGUUGUCUCUGACUCUCCUCCACAGCUGGAGGUUCUGGUUCUCCCUGACUCUCCAUCACAGCUGGAGGUUCUGGUUCUGCUCUGACUCUCCUCCACAGCUGGAGGUUCUGGUUGUCUCUGACUCUCCUCCACAGCUGGAGGUUCUGGUUCUGCUCUGACUCUCCUCCACAGCUGGAGGUUCUGGUUCUCCCUGACUCUCCUCCACAGCUGGAGGUUCUGGUUCUCCCUGACUCUCCUCCACAGCUGGAGGUUCUGGUUCUGUUCAUGAUGCGGGUUUAGCAUUUUCACGUUGUUUGACUUGAAAAGACACAGACGUGUGUAAUCACACGUUAAACCACUUUGUGUGUAACAUGGACGCACAAACACACAACCAGCUGUUCAUCACCACAGUGAGCAGCUUGAAGGACAUGUGAUCAAAUGUUGUGUUAUAUAUAAAGACAUGUCUGUUUACCUGAGAGAACAGAGAGGAGAACCAGAACCAGAACCAGAACCAGGUGAGACGAACAGCUGAUCUCACUGGUUAGAAUACCAAUUAUACACAUUUUAUAUUCUGAACCUUCAAAGUCACCAAUAUUAACUAUUCUCUGGAAAGUAGCAGAAAAUAUAAAUACUCAACUGAAGUACAAGUAUCUCAGAAUGUGUAUCUAAACACAGUACUUGAGUAAAAGUACUCAGUUACUCUCCAGCAGAGCUGUGAUCAGCUGAUGUGGUCUGCAGAGUCCAGCUGACCUUCCUUUGUGUUCGUCCUCUGAUAUUAAAUGUGUCGUCUCACCGCUGCAGAUUAAUGACAGUGAUCAUCAACACACACACACACACACACACACACACACACUCACACACACUCACACACACACACGCAGGUGAAGACGUACCUGUGUAGAUGAGCUGCUGUGCUGUGUGUGUGGUGGACUCGGUGUGUUCGCUGCAGACCUCCUCCUCCUGCUGCUGCUGCUGUCCUAUAUUUCCUCCUCAGCCUCGCUCGUCUCUCAGUGUGAUGCAGAGCGACGUCACCACACACACACACACACACACACACACACACACACACACACACACACACACACAGGCCAUGACUUGAAUACACGAUGAGGCUCUGUGACGUGGUUUAUUAACUGUUUCCUGACGUGAGGAACAUGAAGAAUAUCUGCAGCUUCCAUUAAUCUCAUUUAGUCAAUUUUAGUUUUGUCUGUAAAACAUCAAACAUGGAUCAGUGCAGAUAAACAGCUUUCAGGUUUAAUGAGGUAAAUAAAUACAUUAUUAUAUGAAUUAAUUAGACUGUCUUCAUGUGCACUGACAUCAACAACACUCACAUCCAGUACAGGUACAAAACAUUACUGC
rnacentral:lncRNA from 1 species